rnacentral:rRNA from 1 species
CAGUCGCCGCGGUAAUACGCAGGUGGCAAGCGUUGUCCGGAAUUAUUGGGCGUAAAGGGCUCGCAGGCGGUUUCUUAAGUCUGAUGUGAAAGCCCCCGGCUCAACCGGGGAGGGUCAUUGGAAACUGGGAAACUUGAGUGCAGAAGAGGAGAGUGGAAUUCCACGUGUAGCGGUGAAAUGCGUAGAGAUGUGGAGGAACACCAAUGGCGAAGGCGACUCUCUGGUCUGUAACUGACGCUGAGGAGCGAAAGCGUGGGGAGCGAACAGGAUUAGAUACCCCAGUAGUCCCUGUCUCUUAUAC